UUCCGGUUGAUCCCGCCGGACCCGACUGCUAUCGGAUUGGGACUAAGUCAUGCGAGUCAACUCGAAAGAGUGGCGCACGGCUCAGUAACACGUAGUCAAUCUACCCUGAGGACGGGGAUAACCCCGGGAAACUGGGGAUAAACCCCGAUAGGUCAUAGCUCCUGGAAUGGGCUAUGGCUCUAAAUCUAUGUGGCCUUAGGAUGGGACUGCGUCCGAUCAGGUUGUUGGUGGGGUAAUGGCCCACCAAGCCUAUAACCGGUACGGGCUCUGAGAGGAGGAGCCCGGAGAUGGGCACUGGGACAAGGGCNCUGGUCCUAUGGGGCGCAGCAGGCGCGAAACCUCCGCNAUGGGCGAGAGCCCGACGGGNUCANUCCGAGUGGCUCCUGCUAAAGGAGUCUUUUGUCAGCUGUAAACAGGCUGGUGAAUAAGGGGUGGGCAAGCCUGGUGUCAGCCGCCGCGGUAAUACCAGCACCCCGAGUGGUCGGGAUGAUUAUUGGGCCUAAAGC
rnacentral:rRNA from 1 species